AUUGAACGCUGGCGGCAGGCCUAACACAUGCAAGUCGAACGAGUGGCGGACGGGUGAGUAAUGUCUGGGAAACUGCCCGAUGGAGGGGGAUAACUACUGGAAACGGUAGCUAUUACCGCAUACCAUCGGAUGUGCCCAGAUGGGAUUAGCUAGUAGGUGGGGUAACGGCUCCCCUAGGCGACGAUCCCUAGCUGGUCUGAGAGGAUGAACAGCCACACUGGAACUGAGACACGGGCCAGACUCCUACGGGAGGCAGCAGUGGGGAAUAUUGCAGAAUGGGCGCAAGCCGGAUGCAGCCAGGCAGCGUGUAUGAAGAAGGCCUUCGGGUUGUAAAGUACUGUCAGCGAGGAGGCGUUACUCGCAGAAGAAGCACCGGCUAACUCCGUGCCAGCAGCCGCGGUAAUAC
rnacentral:rRNA from 1 species